rnacentral:lncRNA from 1 species
GUCUGUGAAAUCUUUUUUCCCUCUUAUAUUAAAAUACAGUUUCUUUGCUUCUCACAUAAGCAUAGCUAUCUGCAGUAUCUUUUUUUAGUUAUACUUAUGGAUUUUAGUUGAUUGGUCCACUGAUCCUCUCUAUUUCAAGUAUUCUACCUCCUUAGAAUUCAAUUUUUUUUAGGUGUGGUAUUUAUUGAUCUUUAGCCUUGUUCAGUUAAUCUCCGAGAGGGAGGGAUUGGAGGGGAUUUAAGGGAAAUAAUUCUACACCACAAUAGCCUCCAAAUCCCCCUCAAUCCCCUUAUGAGAGGGAUUAACCGAACAAGGCCUCUUAGUGGAACUGAAACUUGACUGACUAUUCUUCAAUACAAAACACAAUUACACACCUUCUAACAGUAGCAUUGCACUGGACAUAUCCACUUUGAUUUGGAGGGCCAGUCAAUAACGCUAACGAAAUUAUUUAGUUGUAGAACUAACUGGGAACUUUCUGUUACAACUGAAUCUUAAUGAUAGGAAAAAAUGAGAUCAUUGCCACUCUAAUCUUAAGGAUAUGAUGCUGGAUCUUUCCUAUCCAAGCAGCUAACUCUAUUUUUCUGGCAUGUGACUACAGUCCACAGAUCGGUUAGCAUCAAAUGCUUAAUGGUCUCCUUCGUUAUUUUAGUGGAAGAUAAAUUAAUAGCUGAUAUCAAGUUGGUUAUUUCCAACCCAAGUAAUAAACCUAUUAAUUUGUAGCUGUUUAUUACUAAUCGGUAAAUCUAAUAAAUAAUGCAUCUAUCAUUUUUAUGGUCUUGAAACUUGAAAGCCACAUUAAAGGUUAAACCACAUUAAGGUUGCUUCCCAUCACUUACAUGCCCUGCAAGAAUAAUGACUGUACACGUUAAUGUAAUUAUAUUUUUACAUAUUCUAUUAUGAAAGAACAGACCUAGAUCAGAUUAGGGAUACAAUCAAAAUAUACAGGAAUAAUGACUGUACACAUUAAUGUAAUUAUAUUAGUACAUAUUCUAUUAUGAAAGAACAGACCUAGAUCGGAUUAGGGAUACAAUCAAAAUAUACAGGAAUAAUGACUGUACACAUUAAUGUAAUUAUAUUUUUUACAUAUUCUAUUUUGAAAGAACAAACCUAGAGAUAGGAUUAGGGAUACAAUCAAAAUAGAAGAAUAUCAGGAGACAGGACUUGUCACCUUAUUGGGGUUGUCGCUGUUCCUCUCAAUUCCACAAAAAGUCAAUUCAAUCGGCAUUGAUCUUCACUGGAAUCUGGAUGCUGCUGACUCCAUCUGCAUCAAAGAAACUUAUACGGGAUCACUUUUUCUACAUGCAGGU